UUGGAAAGCUAAUAGGCUAUAAAAUAUGGCAGGCGGUGGCGACCCGAAAUGGCAGAAAGAUGCUUCAGACCAGAACUUUGAUUACAUGUUUAAACUUUUGAUCAUUGGAAAUUCGAGUGUUGGCAAAACAAGCUUUUUAUUCCGUUAUGCUGAUGAUUCAUUCACAUCGGCAUUCGUAUCAACCGUUGGCAUUGACUUCAAAGUGAAAACUGUUUUUCGACAUGACAAACGAGUAAAAUUGCAGAUAUGGGUAAGUAAAUUUGCUACAGAU